AACGAACGCUGGCGGCAGGCCUAACACAUGCAAGUCGAACGCUCUAGCAAUAGAGAGUGGCAGACGGGUGAGUAACACGUGGGAAUCUUCCUAUCGGUACGGAAUAGCUCAGGGAAACUUGGGGUAAUACCGCAUACGCCCUUCGGGGGAAAGAUUUAUCGCCAUUGGAGCGGCCCGCGUUGGAUUAGGUAGUUGGUGGGGUAAAGGCCCACCAAGCCUACGAUCCAUAGCUGGUCUGAGAGGAUGAUCAGCCACACUGGGACUGAGACACGGCCCAGACUCCUACGGGAGGCAGCAGUGGGGAAUAUUGGACAAUGGGCGCAAGCCUGAUCCAGCCAUGCCGCGUGAGUGACGAAGGUCUUCGGAUUGUAAAGCUCUUUUGGCGGGGACGAUAAUGACGGUACCCGCAGAAUAAGCCCCGGCUAACUUCGUGCCAGCCGCCGCUGUAA
rnacentral:rRNA from 1 species